rnacentral:tRNA from 1 species
AGAUCAAUCUUCCGUGCAGACACGAAAAAUUGGCUGAGAUCACCUGCUGCAAAGCAGCGAGCGACUGCCUUCUUAGCAGUCGGUCGAUGGUUCGAAUCCAUCAGGGG